UCCCUGAUGGCUCAGAUGGUAAAGAAUCUGCCUGCAAUGCAGGAGACCCUGGUUCCAUCCCUGGGUUGGGAA
rnacentral:tRNA from 1 species